CUCGUUUCCCAUUCACCACUGCCCCGACACCACUCACCGGCGCCCUCCCCCACAGCCCCUCUCUCCUCCGCUCACCUUAUCCCCACCACCGGGCGAGCUCCUCUCCUCCCCCUCGCCCCAGAUCGAGCAGCAGGUCUGGAUCCAUGGCCACGGCAGCGCGAGCGCUCCCCGUCAGAUCGCUUUCGUUCCCGAGCAGAGGAGGAGGCAAUGUUGCAUGGCUAUCUCGGUGGUCGCGGCGCUGUUCCGCAGCUGGUUCGCCUUCAGCUCGCCGGGGCGGAUGAGGUGAUUCAUUAGGGUUAGUGCCGCCGCCGCCCCAUCCCGCUCCGCAUCGAUGGGUCUCGGGCAAGCCACCCCUUCAUACUCUCUCUGUCCUGUCGCCUCCCAUAGUUCUUCCUCAACCACGAUCGGGGCGGGAUGGACCUGCAUAUCCGUCAAGGUAACUAGCGGGGUGGUGCUCACGGAUCGGGGCAUUAUGAGGUAGGAUCGAUUAUGUGGAUUGUAGCUCUGCAGCGGGCGUUUUGGACGGGAGUGAUAGCCAGGUUCUAUGCUUAUAUUUUAUCUCUUUUUUUAUAAGCUGCAAGUAAUUGCUAUCAUCAUAGACAUUAAGAAAGUAAAUAUAUACUCAUGCAUCAUCUUUUAGGAGAAUUUGAAUGUUAUUUCAAACCGUGAUGUGUUUGUUGGUGCCAUAUGGAUAGUAAAUGAUGCUACUAAGUUUAACAGAUAGUUGUAGAUAUAAAUAAAAUCAGGAGGUCACCAUUAUGUUGAUUUCAGAAUAAGCAUCAUGUCAGUCUUGUAAAUAUCUUUUGUGUUCUGCAGGCUAAUCAUACGCUCUCUUUUGUGCUAUAUUUGGCAAUCUUGUACUACUAUCUUGCAGGUUGUUGGGACAUUUACUCACCCCCAAAUAUGUUUGUUGGUUGAUACACAGGCUUCGGGAAACAAGUAGAAAGCUGCUGCUUUCAUUGGGGACCUAGAUCUUUGUGAGGCUUUUUAAAGAUCUUGACACAGUAUAUGAAAAUGAUUUUCAUAACUCGACAAUUUCGGUAUUUUGGUCAAUUGACUCGGGCUCUCUAAAAGGAUUUCAUAGUGAUUGCAAAGAAGCUUCAAAGCAGAAUCUUUUGAUCCGAAAGAACCUCAUAAUCAAUAAGAGCAUUCGCACAACAUAUGUCCGGGCAAUCAGAUCAACACACCAUUUCAUUUAUAUUUAAAAUCAGUAAUUUCUUGGUUCUUCGUAUGAGUGGCCAUCCUAUGUGAAUUCAGGUUCCUACAAUCUAAUACUAAUGGAAUUGGCCUUCAAAAUUGCAACCAAUAUUAGAGCUGGCGAACGAUUUGCAUUUUAUGUAUUCAUACCAAUGUGGCCUGAAGGAGUCCCUACCUCAGCCUCUGUGCAAGAAAUUCUUUUCUUUCAGUGGCAGGCAUAUUUGGGCGUGACGGGAUUCUCAUGCACUCAUCCGGCGAGAUCCUCCUGAUGAACAAGCGCGGCGUCUUCAUGAACAGCCUGCAAACGGGGGCAUGUUACUACCUGGUACUCAUAUCGAUCUAAUUAAUCUACUUCAUAUUUAGCCGGUUAGAAGAAUCAAGAUCUCUGUAUAUGUAUGCAAGGCAAUAAAAGAAGCGUGCAUUUCUUAUCAAGCUUCAAUGAGAACGAUCUUGUCGUGAUAAUCGUAUCAGUGUGCAAUGUUGUUCUUGCUUUCUUUGUUGAUAUCAGCUUACAGUUACUGGGAGAAAUAAAUUAUCAAAAUGUUCAUGUACAGUGUCAUUAUACCGACAUUGGCUACCUAGCAUAACUCUUAUCAUCUUAAACUAAGUUCUAUAAUUAGAUUAUUGAUUGCUUA